rnacentral:rRNA from 1 species
AGUGAACGCUGGCGGUAGGCCUAACACAUGCAAGUCGAACGGCAGCACAGUAAGAGCUUGCUCUUACGGGUGGCGAGUGGCGGACGGGUGAGGAAUACAUCGGAAUCUACUUUUUCGUGGGGGAUAACGUAGGGAAACUUACGCUAAUACCGCAUACGACCUACGGGUGAAAGCAGGGGAUCUUCGGACCUUGCGCGAUUGAAUGAGCCGAUGUCGGAUUAGCUAGUUGGCGGGGUAAGGGCCAACCAAGGCGACGAUCCGUAGCUGGUCUGAGAGGAUGAUCAGCCACACUGGAACUGAGACACGGUCCAGACUCCUACGGGAGGCAGCAGUGGGGAAUAUUGGACAAUGGGCGCAAGCCUGAUCCAGCCAUACCGCGUGGGUGAAGAAGGCCUUCGGGUUGUAAAGCCCUUUUGUUGGGAAAGAAAAGCAGCAGGUUAAUACCCCGCUGUUCUGACGGUACCCAAAGAAUAAGCACCGGCUAACUUCGUG